rnacentral:lncRNA from 1 species
GUCUAUGGGGCUCUAUGGGGGUCUAUGGGGGUCUAUGGGGGCUCUAUGGGGGCUCCAUGGGGCUCUAUGGGGCUCUAUGGGGGACUAUGGGGGCUCUAUGGGGGUCUAUGAGGUCUCUAUGGGGCUCUAUGGAUCCCUAUGUCCCACCACCGCCAAUGGGGCGCCCAUCCCCGGCCCUACAAGUGGGGGGGGGAAAGGGGGGGGAGAUAUGGGGUCUAUGGGGCUCUAUGGAGCUCUAUGGGGUCCCUAUGGGGAUCUAUGAGGGUCUAUGGGGUCACCAUGGGGGUCUAUGGGGGUCUAUGGGGGCUCCAUGGGGCUCCAUGGGGUCCCUAUGGGGGUCUAUGAGGGUCUAUGGGGUCUCCAUGGGGGUCUAUGGGGGUCUAUGGGGGUCUACGAGGCUCUAUGAGGGCUCUAUGGGGCUCUACAGGGAUCUAUGGGGACUCUAUGGGGGUCUAUGGGGUCCCUAUGGGGGUCUUUGGGGUCCCUAUGGGG